UCGGACAUCAGGAGGUUAGUGCAAUGGCAUAAGCCAGCUUGACUGCGAGCGUGACGGCGCGAGCAGGUGCGAAAGCAGGUCAUAGUGAUCCGGUGGUUCUGAAUGGAAGGGCCAUCGCUCAACGGAUAAAAGGUACUCCGGGGAUAACAGGCUGAUACCGCCCAAGAGUUCAUAUCGACGGCGGUGUUUGGCACCUCGAUGUCGGCUCAUCACAUCCUGGGGCUGAAGUAGGUCCCAAGGGUAUGGCUGUUCGCCAUUUAAAGUGGUACGCGAGCUGGGUUUAGAACGUCGUGAGACAGUUCGGUCCCUAUCUGCCGUGGGCGCUGGAGAACUGAGGGGGGCUGCUCCUAGUACGAGAGGACCGGAGUGGACGCAUCACUGGUGUUCGGGUUGUCAUGCCAAUGGCACUGCCCGGUAGCUAAAUGCGGAAGAGAUAAGUGCUGAAAGCAUCUAAGCACGAAACUUGCC
rnacentral:rRNA from 1 species